rnacentral:lncRNA from 1 species
UCACGUUCAUUUUUUGAAAACAACAUGUUAUGAUAUCAAUACAUUAAAAUUUAUAAAUUUAGAUUUUAAAAAAAUUCAAAUAUCAAUACAUUAAAGUUUAAGAAAAUAUUUCACGUUCAUUUUUUGAAAACAACAUGUUAUGAUAUCAAUACAUUAAAAUUUAUAAAUUUAGAUUUUAAAAAAAUUCAAAUAUCAAUACAUUAAAGUUUAAGAAAAUAAUAUUAAU